rnacentral:lncRNA from 1 species
GGAACAAUGAUCAAUGAGUGUCCAUGUUAGUUAAAAACGGAAAAAGGCAAAAUCUGAUGUGAAUUGAGGAUCAAAGCAUGAAAGAAACUACAGUAAGAAGGCAUUUUUAAUGUUAUUUGAUGCAACAUUAUAUUAUAUUAUCGCCAUUCGGAAUAUCUGUCAGAUUCGUAAAUUAUGACCUCGUGAGCAAAAAACAAAAAAA